UAUUGAGGCAUAAUAUUUGGUCCUGCGAAGUUGGUUUUGGAUUUUCACGAUUUAAUAAAUUCUGCUAAUGCAAUUUCUGCCUUGUCAUUACAGGAACAUUCUAAUGGGUUCGGAUUGUCAACUGCCAUAUCAGAAUGACUGGCAUGGGGCAAUGCAACUUCCUUGAGAUUGCAUCAUUGGAGCAGAUUCUAACGGUCGAAUUGGAGCAGUAGUCCGCCGAGGCCUUGCAUACGCUAGAGUCCAGAAUAAGCCACUCUAACCCAUUUCUUCUAUAUUCACUUGUAAACUAUUUCUCGUCCACCUGUUCCUGAUGAGAUAUUCUUGACAGGUGAAGGGCGUGAGAGCAAAGGACAGUCGGAAGCGAUAUGGAUGCGGAAGCUGUGCAGGCACGGAGAAUGCUCGACUUGCAGGCAAGUUCUGCAAGCUCUCACGGCUUUACUAUGAGGAAGCUGGUCCAAUCUUCCGUACUCCUCGAGGCGUUGCUACUUUUGGGGAGGGCAUUCCGACUAUAUCGCGCCAUACUAUUGUUUCCGCUUUCCGUUAAUAAUGUAAGUAUAUCUGACACAUCCCUUGCUUAAAAGACUUCCAUUUUCUUUUAAUUCCUUCGGAUAAGUGACUGACUAUUUCUCGUCAUGCUUUGAAUGGUGACUCGACCGGAAAUUGGCCGCCAUUCAAGAUAGGGCUGUCAACGGUUGGAUCCGGGUCCGGUCUUGGUAGAAACACUCCCGAGUAGAUCAUUAAUUGGGACAAAACCCUAGACCCAAAACUUUCCAUUUUAACUUAAAAUUUAGGUUGAAACAUAAACAUAGGUUUAAAACCGAACCAUUUAAGCUAAAAGACACCACUUUUCUUAUUUAAAUCUCAAAUUAAAAUUUAAACUUUAGUCAUAUAUCGUUAAUAAAAUUGAUAGAAAAAUACUAAGUUACUUAUAUGUUAAAACGUCAGGAACCUUUAUUUAUCUAUCUAUGUAUCAGAUUCGACACUUUAAACCUAUGAUAAGAGAGAAACCGUAAGAAAACGAAGGAAAUAAUAUAUAUGGUUAACAAAAUAGUCGGUUUUGGGCAUGAAUCGAUUCGGGAGGGGCGAGUACCGGAACCGGCCCAAUUAUUUAUUUCAACAUAAGCAUGGAGCCGGAUCCUUUAUAAAUGGUUGGGUCGAUUCGGGCCAGCCGGGUAGRCCUGAACCGUUGACAGCACCUUCAAGAACAUGAACAAUGGUAGCGAUUGUGUUGCAGCAAGCUUGGUAUCGCUUUUCCUUCUCUCUUCGGACCUGUACUUCGAGAACAUUCUAAUGGGUUCGGAUUGUCAACUGCCGUAUCAGAAUGACUGCCAUGGGAUAAACCACCAUUGGCAUUGCCACUUGCAUGAGAUUGCGUCAUUGGAGCAGAUUCAAACGGUCGAAUUGGAGCAGUAGUCCGCCGAGGCCUUGCAUACGCUGSAGUCCAGAAUAAGCCACUCUAACCCAUUUUUUUCUAUAUUCACUUGUAAACUAUUUCUCGUCCACCUGUUCCUGAUUAGAUAUUCUUGACAGGUGAAGGGCGUGAGCGCAAAGGAGACUCGGAAGCGAUACGGAUGCGGAAGCUGUACAGGGAGCUAUUGUAAGUGGAAACCAUGCAGAUAUUGUUGUAUGGGAACCUGAUGCUGAAUUUGAACUCAAUGAGAACCAUGCUAGAUACCAUAAGCAUCUUGCAUGUUUUUUUUCUUACAUGUGCUUUUCUUGUUACUAAGGGAAAAAUGAUCAAGUUGAUGCUUGCCAGCUUGAUUAAACAACUUCACUUUUUACAUGAUGCCUGGAUUUCACAAAAUGAAAAACAAGUGUUCCCUCUAGUUUAUUUUUUCAUUGUUUACUAUCAUUAAUUAAGCCCAAAAUAUGUAGCAAAUGGAUCAUAUAUUUCUCAUGCUCUGUUUUGAUUCUUCCAUCACAGUUUCUGGUCUUAAUGAUCUGUGUCCCACAGGUUACUGGAAAUGCUUAAGAUUGUGGCCUUCAGUUAUACCAUGGUCCAAUAUGUCUUAGGAUUGAAAAGUUAACCAAAGAAUUCUAGCAUUUCUUACUUGAUUGUGUUUUCCUCUGUGCACAGAAUAUCUCGGCCUACAUGGGAAUGAAACUAUCUGGGAAUGUUUUGGCAACUUUUGUGAGAGGGAACCUUGUCUACAGUGAGGGGAGACAUCCUCUCGCUGCUUGUGGUGUUACGAUCCUUGCAAAUUAAAGGGAUAAGUUGAUGGUAUGCCAUAGAGCCAUUAUUUAAAGUUCGGUUAGACUUGGUUGGAUUAGAAAACAUCAUUCCUAUAGGAUUUGGACACCAUACUUGGAAUCCACCUCAACUUCAUCAACUUCCUUAACAUAAUUGUUAUUUCAACAUUUUCCGGUUGAGGUAGGGCUUCCUGUAUCCUGAUUGUAGCCAAUGAAAGUACCUCCCUUUUAUUGAUUUUUGUGCAGAAAUUUCUAAGAACUAUUCAUAGGCAACAAGCCAACCCAGAAACCUCUCCUAAAAUCCUUAAAAUUCUGGCUCUAUGACCUAUAAUGAUCAGACUUAUUAGUUUCCCAUGCAUGCUGCUUAUCCUAGUUGUGCAUGGGUAUCAAACAUAGAGAAGAGAGAAUGGCCAAGAUGGAUCUCUUGCCCUCCAAUAAAAAUCAAAUACACCUUUUUGAUUUUUCCUUGAUUUUUGAGGGUAGGCCUUGGCACAAUGGUUGGGUUUGCUCCAUUGCCACCUGGGUGAUCGGCGUUCAAAUCUUGGAAACAGUCUUUCUGUGCAGGGGAAAGGCUGCGUUCUUUUGUCCUUCCCCAGACCUGCAUUGGUGAGAGCCUUGAGCACAGGGAUACCCUUUUUAAACCAAUUCAGAAAUCUUUCUUAAAAUCCUUAAAAAAUCAUUACAACUAGGAUAAAAUAUGAUUGCACCACAAGAUGUCACUAUUACUAUAGAGAACUAAAUG